AGUGAACGCUGGCGGUAGGCCUAACACAUGCAAGUCGAACGGCAGCACAGUAAGAGCUUGCUCUUACGGGUGGCGAGUGGCGGACGGGUGAGGAAUACAUCGGAAUCUACUUUUUCGUGGGGGAUAACGUAGGGAAACUUACGCUAAUACCGCAUACGACCUACGGGUGAAAGCAGGGGAUCUUCGGACCUUGCGCGAUUGAAUGAGCCGAUGCCGGAUUAGCUAGUUGGCGGGGUAAAGGCCCACCAAGGCGACGAUCCGUAGCUGGUCUGAGAGGAUGAACAGCCACACUGGAACUGAGACACGGUCCAGACUCCUAAGGGAGGCAGCAGUUGGGAAUAUUGGACAAUGGGCGCAAGCCUGAUCCAGCCAUACCGCGUGGGUGAAGAAGGCCUUCGGGUUGUAAAGCCCUUUUGUUGGGAAAGAAAAGCAGCAGGUUAAUACCCCGCUGUUCUGACGGUACCCAAAGAAUAAGCACCGGCUAACUUCGUG
rnacentral:rRNA from 1 species